rnacentral:rRNA from 1 species
AACGAACGCUGGCGGCAUGCCUAACACAUGCAAGUCGAACGAGACCUUCGGGUCUAGUGGCGCACGGGUGCGUAACGCGUGGGAACCUGCCCUUAGGUUCGGAAUAACUCCCCGAAAGGGGUGCUAAUACCGGAUAAUGUCUUCGGACCAAAGAUUUAUCGCCUUUGGAUGGGCCCGCGUUGGAUUAGCUAGUUGGUAGGGUAAAAGCCUACCAAGGCGACGAUCCAUAGCUGGUCUGAGAGGAUGAUCAGCCACACUGGGACUGAGACACGGCCCAGACGCCUACGGGAAGCAGCAGUGGGGAAUAUUGGACAAUGGGCGAAAGCCUGAUCCAGCAAUGCCGCGUGAGUGAUGAAGGCCUUAGGGUUGUAAAGCUCUUUUACCCGGGAUGAUAAUGACAGUACCGGGAGAAUAAGCUCCGGCUAACUCCGUG